rnacentral:rRNA from 1 species
CUCAGGACGACGCCGGGCGUGUGCUUCACACAUGCAAGUCGAACGAGGUAGCAAUACCUAGUGGCGGACGGGUGAGUAACGCGUGGGAAUCUGCCCAAGGGUGGGGGAUAACUAGCCGAAAGGUUAGCUAAUACCGCACAUGCCGUGAGGUAAAAGGAGUAAUCCGCCCCUGGAUGAGCCUGCGUCCGAUUAGCUAGUUGGUGGGGUAAAAGCCUACCAAGGCUACGAUCGGUAGCUGGUCUGAGAGGAUGAUCAGCCACAAUGGGACUGAGACACGGCCCAUACUCCUACGGGAGGCAGCAGUGGGGAAUCUUACGCAAUGGGCGAAAGCCUGACGUAGCGACACCGCGUGAGCGAAGAAGCCCUUUGGGGUGUAAAGCUCUGUCAGCAGGGACGAAUAAAUGACGGUACCUGCAGAGGAAGCAUCGGCUAACUACGUGCCAGCAGCCGCGGUAAGACGUAGGAUGCGAGCGUUGUCCGGAUUCAUUGGGCGUAAAGAGUUCGUAGGCGGUUUGUUAAGUCUGAUGUUAAAGAUCGGGGCCCAACCCUGGGAGUGCAUUGGAUACUGGCAGACUGGAGUGCAGUAGAGGCAAGUGGAAUUCCCAGCGUAGCGGUGAAAUGCGUAGAUAUUGGGAAGAACACCGGUGGCGCAGGCGACUUGCUGGGCUGUAACUGACGAUGAGGAACGAAAGCUAGGGGAGCAAAUGGGAUUAGAUACCCCAGUAGUCCUAGCUGUAAACGAUGGAUACUAGGCGUUGCAGGUAUCGACCCCUGCAGUGCCGCAGUUAACGCGAUAAGUAUCCCGCCUGAGUAGUAC